rnacentral:rRNA from 1 species
UGGGGAAUAUUGGACAAUGGACCGAGAGUCUGAUCCAGCAAUUCUGUGUGCACGAUGAAGUUUUUCGGAAUGUAAAGUGCUUUCAGUUGGGAAGAAAGAAAUGACGGUACCAACAGAAGAAGUGACGGCUAAAUACAUGCCAGCAGCCGCGGUAAUACGUAUGUCACGAGCGUUAUCCGGAUUUAUUGGGCGUAAAGCGCGUCUAGGUGGUUAUGUAAGUCUGAUGUGAAAAUGCAGGGCUCAACUCUGUAUUGCGUUGGAAACUGUAUAACUAGAGUACUGGAGAGGUAAGCGGAACUACAAGUGUAGAGGUGAAAUUCGUAGAUAUUUGUAGGAAUGCCGAUGGGGAAGCCAGCUUACUGGACAGAUACUGACGCUAAAGCGCGAAAGCGUGGGUAGCAAACAGG